AGCGCAAAGGCUGCCGGGAGCGGGGAAGAGCCGCCAGCUCUCGCGAGAGGUCGGGCGCGAUCUCGGCCAGGGAGCGUCGCUGAGGUGUGUUUGCAGCUAGAACUGCUUGGGAAAUGUGACAAAGCAGCAGUUCAAUUAAACCAAAACAUUUCUUGAAAGUUAUACCCAUCUCCAGCAACAGGCUCAUCAAGAACAGUUUGACACAGUGGGGGCUUCUGCACCUGCAUCUCGCUGCUGGUAGACACAGCACAGAGAGACCUGGGCAUGGAACAAGGCAGAGAUCCACUGGGAGCCUGCGAAGUGAGGUUGGAUGAUACCUAUUAACACAACCAGUGCAAAGAUUCCAUGCAGCAGACAGGGUUUUGUUCAAGGCAUGGCAAGAAGCUUCAGCCCUGAAUGUCUGCUCCUCUAAACUUCAUCUCCACAGCAAUGCUUCCAGCAUCUUCAUUGAUCACACCAAUGUGUGGUUUCUGUGUUCAUUCUUUCCUAUUCCUAUUGUCAGAGAUUUUCCCCAAGUUCCUGCUGUCCCCUGCUGUGUUGAUUGCAGCAUCUUCCUCUUCACAAGACAAUGACUUCGCUGCUUUGAUCCCAAAUGUCACCUCUGAGGUCAUCCCUCUCUCCUGGCUCUCCCCUCCCUCUCCCAACCAUCCAGCUACCUCCUCCUUUGCUAUUACAACAGCUCUGACACAAGCCCCCUCUUUCAAAGCCUUCCUUAUCUGUCCAUGCUUACUAAUCCCCUAUUUGAGCUGCCCUCCCCCUCUCCAGCCUCUCCUCUCCACUCUUUUCCAGUGUGCAUGGUGCCGUCACAUGCCAUUGCUUGGGAAAGUCAUAUGAUGAGUAGGGACUGCUGGGCAAGGCUGCAGCAGGCAUCUGCUGAACAUGGGGCCCCAGUGGGUAGCACAUCUCCAGCUCCCUCCCCAUGGCCACUGCCACCCCGUGACUCCAUCAGAUCCUGGAC